UCCUGAACUGCCGCACUCCUGUGCUUGUUCUUCCCGGAGCUCUCGAGGUGUUGCUCACACGCCGCCUCUGCAGGGUAGGAAGUGCCUUUGCUCCUGAGGCCAGGGAAGGAGAAACAGCAGUCUGAGGUGAAUUGACUUCAGAAACUUAAGGACAAACCUGUUGUCAUAUUCCUAAUUCAGCAGGGCCUAACCAUGACCAGCAAGGUGAGGAGCAGUUCACACACCCCCUGGCAGAGCCCCAUCAGCGUGUGCUGCAUGAGCUUCCUGCUGAGGGUGAACCUCAGCAAGAGCUCCCCUUCAGAAUUUGGAAAUUCAACAGUGCAGAUGAAAGUAUCAACGUUUAUGUCUGUCUUUAGUUUUUGCAUUUCAGUAGUUCAGAUUUCACUGCAAAUUCUUUGAGAUCAUCAGCACAUGGAAGAUUAGAAUCAGUAUUUUAGUAUCAUAAUGAAGAGUAAUUAAGGCCUUUCCUAGAUACCAGAAGGCAAUCUACCAGAAGGAAAGCUCUUUUCUUUCUUUCCAAGUCUCAUCUGGUGCUAUCAAGAUUAAAUGAAGCGCAACUCAUGGUUAAUGAAGUUUUUACUCUUCUACUAAAAUAAAAUUUAGUCUCUUAAAAUACUUCCCUUUUGCCUUUCAUACACAAUUUCUGUCCAUACUUUGUCUAUUUUAGUGGAGUCAUAUGCCAUAUUUAGCCCAGACAAACGUUUUUAGAGUUUAUUAAUUUCAAAACAUUGUCAAGUAGACACACUAGUAUGUUUUCUCUAUAUACUGUCAGCCUGAUUCACGUGCCUGUAAGUUCAUCUAACACUCUUUCCACUGUUGCACAGAAAACAAAUGACCUUUCAGGGAAAUACCUAUCAAUGUUUCAAUCACUGCUGCUGCUUUUCAGUUAGUAUUAUUAAAAAUCUCAAACUUUAUUCUCUUAGAAGUGCAGAACAGCUGCAUUUUAGUCAUUUUAGAUGCUGGAGUUCAGUUGAAGAGGGUGAUGUGUAGCAGUAGGCACUACAGUGAUUAAUGAGAUUUCGGUAGCUUUUCCAUAGCUUCCUGCCUAGAGCAAAAAACAAAACAAAACAGAAAAUCAACAAACAAACAAAAAAACCAACCCCAAACCCAUAACGGCAGAUUAGUUGUGUGCCUUUCACUGCUUCUUGUAAAAUGUUAAUGGACUCCUAAAGGUUGCAUUUUUGAAUGAGAACCAUUUCAGCAAGAAUUUUAGCAGAUGCAGAGGACAUACAAGGAACUUUUGAAAAUUCCUUAUGUUCUACUUUAUAAAGUCUAUUAGGCACAUUUGGCACAAGCUGGGAAUCUGACACUGAUUUCCAAGCAUUUAAACGGUCCAAAUAAAAUGCCAUUUCUGUAAUACUUUUAUAUUUUCCUUUUUUUCAAGUGUAUAUAAAGUACACAUCUGAAUAAACAAUAUUGUACUCCUUUAUUUUAGAUGUAGGUAGCAGUCACAAGAGAUUAAAUGCUGCUAUGUGUAACGAAGCAUGAAGAUGACAAGAUAUAUGAACCAGAGGCUUUUCAGCUCAAUCACAUCAUCCAGCACAUAAUUAUACAGAUUUUGUAUUUCAGACAGCAAUGUCACCUUAGGGUUGAAAUCAUUCUAGAUGAAUCGGUGUAAGUAUAAAUAAGAUAGUUCCCCACACCCCAGUUACUUUCCUACUUUAAAAAUAGAAAGGAAAAUGAGUCGUCCUGAGUUUAAGGAUGAGUUAUUUGUGUGUGGUAUUUGUGAUGGAAAAUUCUUUCUAAAAUAAACACAGUAAUAAUUAAUGGUCUUCUUUUUUCCUCUCAUAUUUUAAGGCAACAGCCUGCUUCUAGUGCCAGAGUACUAGACUAGAUAUAUCCUGGUCUCUUUUAGUACUUGACUAAUACAUACAGCACUAUCUAUUAGAGUCAUUAGUUGUAUCAAGCAAAAUAUUUUUCUGUAGUUUUUCUAUUAAAUUUCUUUAAAGCCACAUGCAGAAUGUUACCUCCCAUGCUGUACUUUAGUUCCAGCGACUCUAAUAUGGAUGAUACCCUGAUGGGCUUUUGAAAUCCUGAAAAACAUGAAUGUGACAGGGAGCCUAGAUGGGACUUUAAAAAAUACUACAAAUCAUUUAACUACUAUGACAAAAUUUUUAUAAAUGCUGAAUAAAGGUGAAAAUUAAUAAAUGUAUCAGCCUCUAUUAAUUUAGUUCCUUCUCUUCAUUACAGAAAGAUGCUAUUGAUCCAAAAUUUAUUAGCAGUGUUCUGCUAGAGCCAGCGGAGGGCAGACUUGAACUGGAAACUCUUUUUGCUACUGUAGUUACUUGAAGUUAAAAUACCAGAUAUAUCAUGUCUUGAGCUCAAAGUCUCAUCACUUCUCUACUAUUCUAAUUACACUUGUGCUGGAUAAAAGCCUCUUUGCAAUUGCUGUUUGACAAAAUGAGUGUUUUGCAAAUGUUUAAAUAAAGAUGCUAAUAUGAAAGUGAAUAAGUCAGUGUGUUAGCAGCUGUGUGUUACUCAUCAGGGAUAAUCCACACUGCUUAAUCCUUAACCAUGUAUAUCUUGAAAUGUUUGUUAAAAGCUAGUGAAUAUAAUUAUCUCCAUUUUACAGAUGAAGAAACUGAGGAAUAGAGUGGUAACCUUGCAGAUUACCCAUCUGGGUGACCUACAGAAACAAGAAUGAAGUCCAGUUUUUUGAGAUCUAAUCCAGUGCUUUGCAACAUAAACUAUUUUAACUCUUGCAAACAUUAUGGAAAUUUUUGCUAGCAGCCCAAAUUGUGGAUCUUUCACUGAGGAGCUUACACUGAUGAAAUAGCAGGCAACCUGACAGUGAGGUUGUAGAUCUUAAGAAGAAUAUUCUUCCCAAGAAGAUGGGUGGCAGUCAGAUCAAAGGCCUAAAGAUCCACUUUAAAGUAGCAUUUUAUUAUUAAAACAAGUACUUCACAUUUUUAGGCAUAUUUGUUAUUCAUUAGGUUAGGUUGGAGUCUUUCUGAAAGCCUUUAUGAUAGUCUGUGUCUGACUCUUGUUGUGUAUAAUGUGUUGUGGCUUCACACAUUUUUAAGUGCUGUGUGAAGGUCUGUAAGAAUAUAUUAUAAAACAGGCCACUUGAAGCUUCUUGGUCAUUUCUCCUUGUACCUUGUGCAAUUGUACCUCAUGCAAUUGUACCUCACAAAGAGUUGUCACCUCCAAAUUGUCAUCACUUUCCAUAACUCACAGAGGCCUGAAAAUGCAAUUAUCUCAAAGGGGAAAAGAUUCAUUUACUCUUCUGCAGAACAUAAACUCUCCUUGAAAUAACCACUAAUUGAAGGCAUUUGUACACAGGCUCAUUUUAUAGUAAACCACUGGAUGCCUCAGGUCAAGAAGCAGCAAGAAAGAUAACAAUUCAAUUAAUGAAAACUGCUGCUUUGAGAAAUGUGGUUUCCAGUCUCAAAGUUAUUUUAUUUAUCCCUAAUUAUACAUUGCUGAAAACUGUUAACCAUUAUUAGGGGCAGAUAAGUCUGAGGUUUGGGGAUAUGGCCUGGCUUUGCCUGUUGUAAGCUUCACAGGUUUACACAUCCACCUCCAUAACAAUCUUUCCUUUCACUAAUCCUGGUGGGUGUGCAUUUUUUUUGUACCAAACUUUCCCUUUUAUUUGUAAAUAUGUGUGAAAUGUUCAAAACAUUAGUGAUUUAAGAGCAGUUAAGGUAUUACUUCCUCAGAAACACAUCAUUGUUACAUACAGUUGUGUUUGUUGUGCUGAGCAGGCCCAGCUGAGUUACAGAUAAGGCAAAAUAACUGUAUUAGAGCAGGUUGGCCAAAGGCUUGUCCCUGUAUUUCUUUACAUGGAAAAUAAAGGAUAGAUGUAUGUACUGUCUGAAUAGAGAGCAUGAUGAUGUUGUGUGCCUGUGCCAAAAUUAAUACAAUAGUAUUUUAUUGGAAAAAUAAACUUAGUUCUGGAUUUAAAAAAUUGUAAUAUGCCAUGUAUAAAAUACAUAUUUGAUCAAGAUCAGUUCUGGUAAUGUUCCUUCAGAGGUGAGGGUUUAUAAUGACUAGGAAAAGAUACUUCUACAUCUAUGGAAGUUUAAGCCUGCUGCUGUCAAGUGGCCAGGACCCUUAAAUGUGUGUUGAAGUGUCCUACUCUUAGUAAAUCAGAAAUGUUUAUACUUGCUGUCUCAAGUAGUAGAAAGAACACUAGCAACUUCUUCCAUGUUUAGAAUUCUGUGGAGUCUGCUACCUGUGAGCAGACUCCACUUAAAUAAAGUCUCUGGAACUACUAA